GAGGGCACAAUGAGGAGUUAAUAUAUCUCUACUGAGGUUGGAAGACCAAUGACUCUUUAUGUCCUUUUCAUUCUGAGUGCCCU
rfam:Triticum aestivum genome assembly, contig: Triticum_aestivum_CS42_TGACv1_scaffold_177983_2DS